rnacentral:rRNA from 1 species
CCUACGGGUGGCUGCAGUGAGGAAUAUUGGUCAAUGGACGAGAGUCUGAACCAGCCAAGUAGCGUGAAGGAUGACUGCCCUAUGGGUUGUAAACUUCUUUUAUAUGGGAAUAAAACGUUCCACGUGUGGGAUUUUGUAUGUACCAUAUGAAUAAGGAUAGGCUAACUCCGUUCCAGCAGCCGCGGUAAUACGGAGGAUACGAGCUUUAGCCGGAUUUAUUGGGUUUAAAGGGAGCGUAGGUGGGUUGUUAAGUCAGUUGUGAAAGUUUGCGGCUCAACCGUAAAAUUGCAGUUGAGACUGGCAGUCUUGAGUACAGUAGAGGUGGGGAGAAUUCGUGGUGUAGCGGUGAAAUGCUUAGAUAUCACGAAGAACUCCGAUUGCGAAGGCAGUUCACUGGACUGCAACUGACACUGAGGCUCGAAAGUGUGGGUAUCAAACAGGAUUAGAUACCCUAGUAGUC